rnacentral:sRNA from 1 species
GCGAAAAAUGCUGAGAUGGGAUUAUACGAACGACAAAGGCCGGCGGUUCCGGCCUUUGU